GUGAGUAACACGUGGGUAACCUGCCUGUAAGACUGGGAUAACUCCGGGAAACCGGAGCUAAUACCGGAUAGUUCCUUGAACCGCAUGGUUCAAGGAUGAAAGACGGUUUCGGCUGUCACUUACAGAUGGACCCGCGGCGCAUUAGCUAGUUGGUGAGGUAACGGCUCACCAAGGCGACGAUGCGUAGCCGACCUGAGAGGGUGAUCGGCCACACUGGGACUGAGACACGGCCCAGACUCCUACGGGAGGCAGCAGUAGGGAAUCUUCCGCAAUGGACGAAAGUCUGACGGAGCAACGCCGCGUGAGUGAUGAAGGUUUUCGGAUCGUAAAGCUCUGUUGUUAGGGAAGAACAAGUGCAAGAGUAACUGCUUGCACCUUGACGGUACCUAACCAGAAAGCCACGGCUAACUACGUGCCAGCAGCCGCGGUAAUACGUAGGUGGCAAGCGUUGUCCGGAAUUAUUGGGCGUAAAGGGCUCGCAGGCGGUUUCUUAAGUCUGAUGUGAAAGCCCCCGGCUCAACCGGGGAGGGUCAUUGGAAACUGGGAAACUUGAGUGCAGAAGAGGAGAGUGGAAUUCCACGUGUAGCGGUGAAAUGCGUAGAGAUGUGGAGGAACACCAGUGGCGAAGGCGACUCUCUGGUCUGUAACUGACGCUGAGG
rnacentral:rRNA from 1 species